rnacentral:rRNA from 1 species
CCUACGGGUGGCUGCAGUGGGGAAUAUUGGACAAUGGGCGAAAGCCUGAUCCAGCCAUGCCGCGUGUGUGAAGAAGGCCUUCGGGUUGUAAAGCACUUUAAGCGAGGAGGAAGGUUCGUCACCUAAUACGUGACGGAAUUGACGUUACUCGCAGAAUAAGCACCGGCUAACUCUGUGCCAGCAGCCGCGGUAAUACAGAGGGUGCAAGCGUUAAUCGGAAUUACUGGGCGUAAAGCGCGCGUAGGCGGUUGUGUAAGUUGGAUGUGAAAUCCCCG